GGGUACGCGGUCUUCAUUUAUCCGCCUAGGCUCGGCUAGACGCGCUGCUGGUAACACCCGCCUUGAAAGUCUGCUGUCACACGGAAACCUGCGACAACCACACCUUAAACAACUGGGAGUAACGUUUUUCUUACCGGAAGCCCAGCGACAGUCAAAAGGGCGGGGAGUCAUCACAGUGGUGGUCCCAGAAGGAAGAGACGCCAUCUUACCCUGCUCCCUCAGCACCAAGCUGAGCCUUCAACGUGAGGUCUUUGACUGGAAGAAAGAUGGUCAGAAGGAGGUGUUCCUGUACUCUGCUCGCGACGAAUACAAUAACGGACGUCCAGGACAAGAUGGGCAGUUUAAAGGUCGGGUCUCACAUUUCCCAGAAGAGUUGACGCUUGGUAACGCCUCCAUAGUCAAACACCAAGCUGGUUGACAGUGGAGACUACUCCUGUAUUAUUCCAAAUCUUCAGCCAAAGGAACAAAGUUUCAACAUUAAACUCAUCGUUGGUGCAGCUCCAAAGCCUUCGGUGGAGUGGAAGGACAGCGAUGGAAACAUCCUUCCCGCUGAGGAGCCGCGCGUGUCGUACAGAGGAGACCGCUACUACGUCACCCUCCUCAUCACUGUGACCAAGACAGACACCAACGUCUCCCGCUGUGUAGCCACACAGCAGGAGAUCAGCCAUGUGACUGAUGAUGAGAUCUACGUGCCUCACUAUGAGAAAAAGCUGAGAACUGCUGUGGAGCUGGUGUGGUUGUAGCAGCAUUUUGUGGUGGAGUUCUGAUUACUGCAGUUCUGUUUGUAGUUAUAAAGUACAUUAGAAGAUGGCAGAGAGGUGAGAAUAAUAAUGGAUUUCAUAUUUAGCAUUUAUUUUGAUAUAAUGUAUGUAUGAGGUGUAAAAUUGUCGAUAUUUUAUGGAUGAAUCUUUUGGUUUUAAACAUUUUUUCAUGACGGCUCUGGAUUGGCUGCAGAUUGCAAACACCAAAUUCUUUUUUACAGCAGGUAGUUUUAGGCAUAUUUAUCUCAUUUUUCCAGCUAACAGGAGAAGAGGGAGUGUUUCUUUUUUCUUCUUUUUAAAAAAAACAAAACUCUGAGUUAUCUGUUUUCUGCAGAUGUAGAUUAAUAAACUGUAAACUGAGGUACAAGAAGACAUUUAAGGUGAUGUUAGUGCUGAGCGAUUGUCUCCACAGUCUGACCGUCUUAUCGUCCUGCUGUAUGAUCACUAAUGCUGUGUCCCAUCAGCACCAGGGGCAGGUUUGUGGGGGUGAUGGGCUUAACAUGCAGUCAGUUAAGCAGCACUGAACACUCUUCAAGUGAACAGAGAUCUCACCUGACCCACAACAGUGAGUUCAGAAACUCGCUGCUAUUUCAUCUCCAAGUGUUAAACUCCAAAAGCUCAGGGACUCAAACCACAGACAACAGUAACACUGAGAAAUCAUGAGAAACUGUGGGCUGUGGAUUCACCACACAGUGCCUUAAAAUCAGCAGAACAUGAAGCUGUAACACUCAAAGGCUGCUUAUGAAAUGUGGUAGUGAUGGCAGCUGUUUGUUUUCUUUGAAAAUGGUUUAAAGUCGAUGAUUGGUGAUUGAUCAGGCCCUGAGAGUGACAAAGAUUUGAGUGAAGGAGAUGCCACACAAGUAACAGAUUCUACUUUUAUAGAUCUGAGAGGGUUUAAACACGAGUGCAGCAGAGAGUCUUCAUCCAAGGGAACCAGAUUGUACAUAAUUUAAAAAGCUUUAAAAGGUGGAGACAAAAUCAGCUGCUUUUCGUUCUUACAGUAUCACUCAGCUUCUCAAUUUGUAUGAGCCAGACGCAGCUCAAAGCUGUAAAACUGCUGUGAUUGUAUUUUAGAUUGAACACAUUCAUGAUCAGAUUCUCUUUUUAUUUCAGCUUUAACCUCCUAGGACCUGGUGUCCACAUAUGGGGACAUCACAUUUUGGGUUGUCUAGACCACAAUACUAAAUUUUGCUCUUUCAGAUGGCUUUCAAAUGAGCCAUAUUGCUCAAACAGGCACAAUUGUUCUUUCUCAUUUUGUUUUUGUACUCAGGAAAAAUGCUGCAGUGUUCAGACACCAAAUAAAGAGUUUUGCACAUCAUUUCUCAAUUGUGACUUUGUAGUGUUCUAUAGAACACUACAAAGUCACAAUUGCAAAGAGAAAUUAAAAAUGCAUGCCAUGAAAGAGUUCGGGUCUUAGGAGAUUAAUUUGUUUUUCGUGUUCAUGUUGAGUAAGCUUGUUUGAGGAGAGUUUGUCUGUAUUUGUAAAAGUGACUUUAAAAAGAUUCUAAGCAAUAAAAAUGGUGACUUCCAGAAUUAUGUUUGUACUGUUAAAGCUGAUGAUGCUAAUGAAAUACUUGUAUUUAAAAGUGAUGCUACAAUUAAUAAGCUGAUUAUAUUUUACCGUGUGUUUUAUUUAUAUUAUGUUUUGACUACUGAAUUAAUAGGAACGAUCUAAAUCAUGACGUAAACAUUUUGUAUCCGAGCUUUUA